rnacentral:rRNA from 1 species
AGUGAUUAGAGUUUGAUCCUGGCUCAGAACGAACGUUGGCGGUGUGGAUUAGGCAUGCAAGUCGCGCGCGAAAGCCUUCGGGUGAGUAAAGCGGCGAACGGGUGAGUAACACGUAAUCAAUCUACCCCUGAGAUCGGAAUAGCCACUGGAAACGGUGGGUAAUGCCGAAUGGUCCUGCCAGAGGGCAUCCUCUGAUAGGUAAACGGUGACUAGUUCACUGCUCGGGGAGGAGAUUGCGGCCUAUCAGCUUGUUGGUGGGGUAAAGGCCUACCAAGGCGAUGACGGGUAGCCGGUUUGAGAGAACGACCGGUCACACUGGGACUGAGAUACUGCCCAGACUCCUACGGGAGGCUGCAGUCGAGAAUCUUCCGCAAUGGGCGAAAGCCUGACGGAGCGACACCGCGUGCAGGAUGAAGGCCCUCGGGUUGUAAAAAACUGCUGUCACGCUAUAGGAACCAUGUACAGGCAACUGUGCAUCUGACCAAAGCGAGAGGAAGCACCGGCUAACUCCGUGCCAGCAGCCGCGGUAAGACGGAGGGUGCAAACGUUGUUCGGAAUCACUGGGCAUAAAGCGCACGUAGGCGGUCUAUUAAGUUUGACGUGAAAGCCCUCGGCUCAACCGGGGAACUGCGUCGGAUACUGAUAGACUUGAGGUCGGUUGGGGUGAGUGGAACUCCUGGUGGAGCGGUGAAAUGCGUUGAUAUCAGGAGGAACACCAGUGGCGAAAGCGGCUCACUGGGCCGAAUCUGACGCUGAGGUGCGAAAGCUAGGGUAGCGAACGGGAUUAGAUACCCCGGUAGUCCUAGCCGUAAACGAUGGGCACUAGGUAGAGGGGAAGCCUAUGUUCUUCUCUGCCGUAGCUAAUGUGUUAAGUGCCCCGCCUGGGGAGUACGCUCGCAAGGGUAAAACUCAAAGGAAUUGACGGGGGCUCACACAAGCGGUGGAGCAUGUGGUUUAAUUCGAAGCAACGCGAAGAACCUUACCUGGCCUUGACAUCCAUGGAUUAGCUCCCUGAAAGGGGAGUAACAGCUCUUCGGAGUCGGAACAUGGACAGGUGUUGCAUGGCUGUCGUCAGCUCGUGUCGUGAGAUGUUGGGUUAAGUCCCGUAACGAGCGCAACCCUUGUUGCUAGUUGCCAGCGCGUAAUGGCGGGGACUCUAGCGAGACUGCCGGUGUCAAACCGGAGGAAGGUGGGGACGACGUCAAGUCAUCAUGGCCCUUAUGGCCAGGGCGACACACGUGCUACAAUGGUCUGUACAGAGGGUUCCGAUACCGCGAGGUGGAGGCAAUCCCACAAAGCAGGCCCCAGUUCGGAUUGCAGGCUGCAAUUCGCCUGCAUGAAGCCGGAAUCGCUAGUAAUCGCGUAUCAGCCAUGACGCGGUGAAUAUGUUCCUGAGCCUUGUACACACUGCCCGUCAAGCCACGAAAGCGGGGAGCGCUCGAAGUCGCUAUGCCUAACCUUCGGGAGGGCGGCGCCGAAAGCGAGCUCCGUGAUUGGGACUAAGUCGUAACAAGGUAGCCGCAGGAAU